AUUGAACGCUGGCGGCAGGCCUAACACAUGCACGUCGAACUAGUGGCUGACGGGUGAGUAAUUUCUGGGAAACUGCCUGAUGGAGGGGGUUAACUACUGGAAACGGUAGCUAAUACCGCAUACCAUCAUAUGUCCCCCGCUGGGAUUAGCUAGUUGGUGGGGUAACGGGUCCCCAAGGCGACGAUCCCUAGCUGGUCUGAGAGGAUGACGUGCCACACUGGAACUGAGACACGGUCCAGACGCCUACGGGAGGCAGCAGUGGGGAAGAGGGCACAAUGGGCGCAAGCCUGAUGCAGCCCUGCGGCGUGUAUGAAGAAGGCCUUCGGGUUGUAAAGUACUUUCAGCGGGGAGGCGGUACCCGCAGAAGAAGCACCGGCUAACUCCGGGCCAGCCGCCGCGGUAAUUC
rnacentral:rRNA from 1 species